GAUGAACGCUGGCGGCGUGCCUAAUACAUGCAAGUCGAGCGAACAGAUUAUGCGCUUGCUCCUCUCACGUUAGCGGCGGACGUGUGAGUAACACGUUGAUACCCUACCUAUCUGCCUGGGAUCACUUCGUGACUCCGGAGCUCAUACCGGAUAAUCUAUUGAUCCUCAUUGUUCAAUAGUGAUUGACGGUUUUGCUGUCUCUUAUCGAUGCCUCCGCGCCGAAUUAGCUAGUUGCUAAGGUAACGGCUUACCAAGGCAACGAUGCGUAGCCGACCUGAGAGGGGGACGGGCAACACUGGAACGGGGACACGGUCCAGACCCCUACGGGAGGAAGCAGAAGGGAAUCUUCCGAAAGGGGGGAAAGCCUGACGGAGAAACGCGGCGUGAGGGAUGAAGGUCUUCGGAUCGUAAAACUCGGUUAAUAGGGAAGAACAAAUGUGGAAGUAAAUAUGCACGUCGUGACGGUACCUAAUCAGAAAGCCACGGCUAACUACGUG
rnacentral:rRNA from 1 species